rnacentral:rRNA from 1 species
GGCAAAGAAGAAGUACAAUAAGAUGGGGAAAAGAAAUAAAUGCCCAAUAAAAGAAAAGACAAGAAAGCUUUUGGAAAGAAAGAAAAUACGUUUGUUGAUAAGCUUUUGUAAGAUUAGUUAGUUGGUGUGGUAAAGGCAUACCAAGGCAAAGAUCUUUAGCUGUUUUGAGAGAAAGACCAGCCACAUUGGGAUUGGAAGAAGGCCCAAACUCCCUUGGGAGGCAGCAGUGGGGAAUAUUGGACAAUGGGCGAAAGCUUGAUCCAGCAAUAUCACAGAGAUGAAGAAGGUGUAAAAUCGUAA